UUCCAGAGUGAGGAUGCAGGAACAAUUGGUCUAGACGCUACACACAGACGUUCAGCUCCAUCCAGGACCCACAGUCAGCACCAUCCUCAGCAAACAUUGUUCCAGCUCCAGAGGACAGAAUCUUCAAGGGGGGGCUCCAUCUGCCAGGUGCUGCACUUUGGACUGCAUCCCUUCCUCUUCCAACACGGUCCAUGAAGACAUGGAGGACAGAGUCUGUGGGACUGACCUGCACUAGAAAAAACGACACGCCCUGAAGUCCUGUCUGACCAGCCUUUCUCCUUUCUGUGAGGAACACCUUCAGCCUCAUUUGAAAGCAGCUGCAUUGAAGAAACACAAGCUGGUGGGACCCUCCAAGAACCUGCAGGAAAACAUCUGCUCCAGUCAUGAUGAGCUGCUUCAACAGCAGGUGGAGGAGAGUCGGGAGGUCUUCACUUAGAUGAUCCAUCUCAUCCAGAAGAGAAGAGGUGAAGUGAAGAACAGGAUCAGAUUCCAACAGCUAACUGAAGUGAGGCGGGUCAAAGGUCUUCAGAAGGAGCUGGAGCAGGAAAUGACUGAGCUGAUGAGGAGAUGCUGUGAGCGUCAGCAGAGACGGGAUGGCAAAGCA